rnacentral:rRNA from 1 species
GUGGGGAAUAUUGGACAAUGGGGGGAACCCUGAUCCAGCCAUGCCGCGUGUGUGAAGAAGGCCUUUUGGUUGUAAAGCACUUUAAGCGAAGAGGAGGCUACCGAGAUUAAUACUCUUGGAUAGUGGACGUUACUCGCAGAAUAAGCACCGGCUAACUCUGUGCCAGCAGCCGCGGUAAUACAGAGGGUGCAAGCGUUAAUCGGAUUUACUGGGCGUAAAGCGCGCGUAGGUGGCCAAUUAAGUCAAAUGUGAAAUCCCCGAGCUUAACUUGGGAAUUGCAUUCGAUACUGGUUGGCUAGAGUAUGGGAGAGGAUGGUAGAAUUCCAGGUGUAGCGGUGAAAUGCGUAGAGAUCUGGAGGAAUACCGAUGGCGAAGGCAGCCAUCUGGCCUAAUACUGACACUGAGGUGCGAAAGCAUGGGGAGCAAACAGGAUUAGAAACCCGAGUAGUCC